rnacentral:rRNA from 1 species
GCUCGUGUCGUGAGAUUGUUGGUUAAGCCCCGCAACGAGCGCAACCCCUAUUGUUAGUUGCCAUCAUUCAGUUGGGCACUCUAGCGAGACUGCCGGUAAUAACGGAGGAAGUGGGAUGACGUCAAAUCAUCAUGCCCCUUAUGACCUGGGCUACACACGUGCUACAAUGGUUGGUACAACGAGUUGCGAGUCGGUGACGGCGAGCUAAUCUCUUAAAGCCAAUCUCAGUUCGGAUUGCAGGCUGCAACUCGCCUACAUGAAGUCGGAAUCGCUAGUAAUCGCGGAUCAGCACGCCGCGGUGAAUACGUUCCCGGGCCUU